rnacentral:rRNA from 1 species
GACGAACGCUGGCGGCGUGCUUAACACAUGCAAGUCGAGCGGAAAGGCCCUUCGGGGUACUCGAGCGGCGAACGGGUGAGUAACACGUGAGCAACCUGCCCUGGACUUUGGGAUAACCCUCGGAAACGGGGGCUAAUACCGAAUACGACCUGUCACUGCAUGGUGGUGGGUGGAAAGUUUUUCGGUUCUGGGAUGGGCUCGCGGCCUAUCAGCUUGUUGGUGGGGUGAUGGCCUACCAAGGCGACGACGGGUAGCCGGCCUGAGAGGGUGACCGGCCACACUGGGACUGAGACACGGCCCAGGACUCCUACGGGAGGCAGCAGUGGGGAAUAUUGCGCAAUGGGGCGAAAGCCUGACGCAGCGACGCCGCGUGAGGGACG